rnacentral:lncRNA from 1 species
CGCAAGAGUCACGGUCAGUUGCGCCUCUGCUUCGGAAGAGUAUUUUUAGUGGCAAAUAAAGUGGUGCGCAAAUAAACAAACGCCUGGAACAAAUCCUGCAAAGGAGAGCGCCUGUGUGCGGCCCACUGUCUAACUAGGUCAGCCUCGGGCACAGCUCCUUUUGACAGUUUGCUCCCCAGGGCGGAAGGUGACCCGCAGGUGCCGGCUGCUUUCCCCACCAAUCAGCCAUCUGUGGUUUGAGACUCACAAGCUUAGGAGAGACUCGGGAGGCAUCAGUUCCGCAUCCCGCACUCCCACGUGAAUUUGCCCCCGCCCUGAGUCAGAACCCUAGAGGGGUGAAAUCCCUGAAUUCUGCAGAGGAAACCCAUACUUCUUUGCUUUUUCAGCAAUUCCAGGAGAUGUCGUUUUUCAAGUGGCAAAUGUGUGGCUCUAGAGGACAGAGUAACCACCUUGCAGCCAAGAAGCCCUGAUGUCAACUCCCAGCUCUGCUGCAGCACCCAGAAAUCACCGGACCUUUCUGCAUCUUUCUGGUCUUUGAGCUUCUUAAAGGGAAGACAUGUCCUAUUCAUCUCUACACCCCCCACACCAGUCUGCAUUCAGUAAGUGCUCAAUCAAUGUCUGCUGAAUCACAUCUUCCCACUCAACUGCAUGGCCUCGGAUGAUCCAAUUCUGUGGGACUCAGGGUCUCCCUGAUUCUGAAGAUCUCCAUUUCAGCCACCCCAUCCUGGUGCUUUUUCUGGAGAGACUGGGAAAAAGGUCUUAUUGGCUGUGCAAACUUGAGGGAGUUGCCUAACCACUCUGGGCCCUGUUUUCCUGGCUUUGCCACUCUUCAGCUGUGUGACCCGGGGAAGCUCUCAACCUCUUUGUGCCUCCAUUUCCACAUCUGUAAAAUGGGGAUAUGAAAGUGGCUGCUUUGUGAAGAGUCCUGAGAAUAAAUGAGUUAAGGUCACAUGGUGCAGAAAGACAGAAGCAGAGCAGAAGAAUAUUAAAACCUAUUGAAUUUACAACAGCAAGAAUAAAAUACAUGAUUGUUGGAACAUUUAGAGCUCCUUUCUCUCUAUUGUCUGCCCAGGAAAACUGAUAUGGAUAAAUAUGGAAGAGAGCUGGCCAGUGGAUGAAAUGGUGAUGUAAAGGUUAAGAGAAAUAAAAGCAGGAGACGAGGAGAGAGUCACACCACGGUGAGCAGAGAGUUGAGCUGGGGCCCGGGACAAGCAUCAAAAGUGUCACUUCCUCUGAGGUCCCAACCCUACUUCCAUAGGCUCUGCAGCCCACACCACCUUGGAACCAAACAGGGAGGUGGCAGAACUGAUGGGCUGGCCGCACCACCUUAAAUCUCUUAGCUCCAAAACUGGAGGUGCUCAUCAGGACCCUGCAUCAUUUCUGUGGGUGAUGGAUGGUGUGAGGUAAGGCACAGAGAUCUAGACUUAUUUCUCCUUCCACAACAAUUGUUUCUUGGAAGAGGAAGAAAACUUAGCUGGAUUUUAUCUCUUUGUGUGGAUUUCUGGGGUAGACACCCAGAGGUGUGUGCAGGAGCAUGCUCUUUGGGGCCCACAUAGAGAUUCCAGCAGGUGCUGGAGAUUCUGGGGUAGCCUUUCCAUGACUGCUGGCCUCUUUUCCCCUGUGUUGCUUUGGUUUGCUGUCUGGCUAAAGGCAGGAGUGGGAGAAACUCACAUUCCACAAGAGGCUGCCUGGAGCAGAGGCCAAGAGGGUAAGGUUUGUCCAAGGCCUUCCAUCUCAGCUUUGCUGCCAAUUUGUCAGAAAAAAAAUCAUUUGUGCCAAUUAGACCCUGGUUAGGAAAGUGUUGUCCUGUCUGGGAAGCAGGUACAGAAACCAGUUGCAAGGACAGGAGAUCAAUGAAAGUGACACAUUACUUAUGCCUCCAAUUCUUCUCAGCCCUCAAUUUAGUCUCUGAGACACAGAGAAAAUAAGUGUACUUGCCUUGCUAAUGGGUACAUGGUUGGCUUUGGGCAAUUUAUAUAGAGCACUUUAGUUCCAAGAUGAAAUGCACUGAGAUAUUAGGAUUAGUCUCUGCUUUAAUGAGUUUCUGACUUGCAGGUUUGAAAAAAUUUAGUUCUUUUCUGUAUUUCUCUACAAACACAAAACAAUGAUUUAAUGGUAAAACAACAAUGAAAAGAAACUAGGCCAUUCUCUCCAAAAUGAUUAAAAGGGUACUUCUCCUGACCUGACAUAACCUUUCCUCAUAUGAAUUUAUUAUCUGUAUUCACACUCAUAUUCCACUGGAAUGCCUUGGGUCCAGGUGGAUGGUUGCUUAUGGUUAGUAUCGAUUCUGAGCAGGUAGGCAUUCAUACUGUUUGGUUGACGCCUGUGGUGAACAGACCUUAAGGUGACUUCUUGCACCCCUGAGUCAUUUUCUUGUAUAAUCUCCUCUCUUUGAGGACACAAACUGUGCCCUGCUUCAAACCAGUGGAAUAGAGACAAGGUGAUGAGAUCUUUGGUUAUUGCACCUAACUGCUUCAUUCAUUGCACAAUUAGUCACACGCUGUUUUGUGAUGCAGAACAUUUUUUUUUAAGAGAUGGUAGUCUCACUCUGACACCCAGGUUGGAGUGCAGUGACAUGAUCAGAGCUCACUGCAGCCUCAAACUCCUGGGCUCAAGGGAUCCUCCUGCCUCAGCCUCCUGAGUAGCUGGGACUAGAGGUGCGUGCCACCACACCCAGCUAUUUUUUAUUUUUUGUAGAAAUGGAGUCUCACUUUGUGGCCCAAGCUGGUCUCCAACUCCUGGGCUCAAGUGAUCCUCCCACCUUGGCUUAUCAAAUUGCUGGGAUCACAGGUUUGAGCCACCGUGCUUGGACUGUGAUGCAAAAUUUUAUCUAAACCUUGUAUUGUUGACUAUAGCAUCAUGCACUUACUAUUUUCCCUCUUAACUAGAUUUUAAGUCUCUUGAGGGCAAGAACUCUGUUCUUGAAGAUUUUCAGAAGCCCGAUAGCAUAUGGAAGUACUUGACACACAAUAAGUACACAGUCAUAUGUGAUUUGGUUUCUGAGCCUUCAUUUGUCCAACAAAACCAGAUGGGUCUUAGAUGAAGAUAUACGUGGCAAACACUGCAUGCCUACUGUGGGUCAGGUUAGCUCCCAGACAUGCAGAAAACAAAAGCUCUGUCCUCAGGAGUUCAUGAUGGUUCAACCCAAUCAACGAAGUCUUGCAAUCUCACUUCCUCCUUACCUUGUAGAGUUGGAAGAUAUCCAAAUAUUCCUAGAGUUCUUUGUCAAUCUGUCAGGAUUAUAAUUCCACAGAUCAGGCAGAGUGUAACCAUGAAGCUCUUCAGUGAAUUUUUAGUGACUUUUGGGUGAUUUUUUAGUUUCCAAGUAGAAGAAGCAAAAGACCCUUGUGGUGGUUACCUUCCAUCUAAACAGAGAGUGAGCUACAAAGAUACUGCUGUCCCUCAGUGGCCCAUGGGUGUCCCUGCAAAUCUGUGACUCAAGUGGCCAUAUUCAUAUUAAGCAGACCAGAGAUCAAAACCAUAUUAGGCAUGAACCACUUUUUAUUCAUAGGCUUACCGAAUAUAU